GGGGAUGUAGCUUAAAUGGUAGAGUGCUCACUUAGCAUGUGAGGGGUAUGGGGUUCGAUACCCCGCAUCUCCU
rnacentral:tRNA from 1 species